UACGUAGGGUGCAAGCGUUAUCCGGAAUUAUUGGGCGUAAAGAGCUCGUAGGCGGUUUGUCGCGUCUGCUGUGAAAACUGGAGGCUCAACCUCCAGCCUGCAGUGGGUACGGGCAGACUAGAGUGCGGUAGAGGAGAUUGGAAUUCCUGGUGUAGCGGUGGAAUGCGCAGAUAUCAGGAGGAACACCGAUGGCGAAGGCAGAUCUCUGGGCCGUAACUGACGCUGGAGGAAGCGGAAAGCAUGGGAGCGAACAGG
rnacentral:rRNA from 1 species